rnacentral:miRNA from 1 species
AGCUGCGCAGCGCCCCUUCAGCGAAGCGGGAAGAGGAACAGAAGGGGCUCCGUUCCUCCUCCCGCUUUGCUGAAGGGGUGCUGCGCAGCU